rnacentral:miRNA from 2 species
AGAGCUUUCUUCGGUCCACUC